UACGUAGGGGGCUAGCGUUGUCCGGAAUCAUUGGGCGUAAAGAGCGUGUAGGCGGCCCGGUAAGUCCGCUGUGAAAGUCGGGGGCUCAACCCUCGAAUGCCGGUGGAUACUGUCGGGCUAGAGUGCGGAAGAGGCGAGUGGAAUUCCUGGUGUAGCGGUGAAAUGCGCAGAUAUCAGGAGGAACACCGAUGGCGAAGGCAGGUCUCUGGGCCAUAACUGACGCUGAGAAGCGAAAGCAUGGGGAGCGAACAGG
rnacentral:rRNA from 1 species